rnacentral:tRNA from 1 species
CGAUCGGGUAGGACAGCCGGGCCUCGCCGGUGCUGGUGGCGCCGGGUGGGCUGAUCGUGGUGACCCCGGUGGCC